CCUGGUUGAUCUUGCCAGUAGUCAUAUGCUUGUCUCACAGAUUAAGCCAUGCAAGUGAAAGUACAUAUGUAAAUAAUAUAUUGAAACUGCGAACGGCUCAUUAAAACAGUUAUAAUCUACUUGAUGUUUUUAAUAUAAGGAUAACUACGGAAAAUCUGUAGCUAAUACUUGUGAAAAUACCUUUUGAUAUAUACAUAUGUAUGUAUCAUUAAGGUAUGUAUUUGUUAGAUAUAAGAAUAAAAUAAAUAUAAUUGAAUUAUAACAAAGAAGAAACACAUAAAAUAUGUGUAUUAUCAAUCGAGUAUCUGACCUAUCAGCUUUUGAUGUUAGGGUAUUGACCUAACAUGGCUAUGACGGGUAACGGGGAAUUAGAGUUCGAUUCCGGAGAGGGAGCCUGAGAAAUAGCUACCACAUCUAAGGAAGGCAGCAGGCGCGUAAAUUACCCAAUUCUAAAAAAGAGAGGUAGUGACAAGAAAUAACAAUACAAUAUCGAAAAAUGAUUUUGUAAUUGGAAUGAUAGGAAUUUACAAGGUUCCUAGAGAAACAAUUGGAGGGCAAGUCUGGUGCCAGCAGCCGCGGUAAUUCCAGCUCCAAUAGCAUAUAUUAAAAUUGUUGCAGUUAAAACGUUCGUAGUUGAAUAUUAAAGAAUCCGAUGUUUCAUUUAAACUGGUUUGGGAAAACCAAAUAUAUUAUAUAUUUUGCUUUGUUCAAAAUAAGGUUUUCUAAUAAAUUAUGUUUUUAUCAGAUAUGACAGAAUCUUUUUUAAAAUCUCUUCAAUAUGCUUUUAUUGCUUUUGAGAGGUUUUGUUACUUUGAGUAAAAUUAAGUGUUCAUAACAGACGGGUAGUCAUGAUUGAGUUCAUUGUGUUUGAAUACUACAGCAUGGAAUAACAAAUAUGAAUAAGCUAAUUAUUUUUUUUUUUCAUAAUUUUUUUUGAUAUUCUUAUUAGCUUAGUUACGAUUAAUAGGAGUANCUUUGGGGGCAUUCGUAUUCAGAUGUCAGAGGUGAAAUUCUAAGAUUUUCUGGAGACGGACUACUGCGAAAGCAUUUGCCUAAUCUAUUUCCAUUAAUCAAGAACGAAAGUUAAGGGAGUGAAGACGAUCAGAUACCGUCGUAAUCUUAACCAUAAACUAUACCGACUAGGUGUUGGAUGAAUAUAAAAAAUAUAUAAAUAUGUAGCAUUUCUUAGGGAAUGUUGAUUUUAUAUUAGAAUUGCUUCCUUCAGUACCUUAUGAGAAAUCAAAGUCUUUGGGUUCUGGGGCGAGUAUUCGCGCAAGCGAGAAAGUUAAAAGAAUUGACGGAAGGGCACCACCAGGCGUGGAGCUUGCGGCUUAAUUUGACUCAACACGGGAAAACUCACUAGUUUAAGACAAGAGUAGGAUUGACAGAUUAAUAGCUCUUUCUUGAUUUCUUGGAUGGUGAUGCAUGGCCGUUUUUAGUUCGUGAAUAUGAUUUGUCUGGUUAAUUCCGAUAACGAACGAGAUCUUAACCUGCUAAUUAGCGGUAAGUACACUAUAUUUUUAUUUGAAAUUGAAUAUAGGUAAUUAUACAUGUUUAUUCAGUGUUCAAAUUAGGAUAUUUUUUUAUUAAAAUAUUCUUUUCCCUGUUCUACUAUAAUAAUUUGUUUUUUUUUACUCUAUUUCUCUCUUCUUUUAAGAAUGUACUUGUUUGAUUAAAUAAAGCUUCUUAGAGGAACAGUGUGUAUCUAACACAAGGAAGUUUAAGGCAACAACAGGUCUGUGAUGUCCUUAGAUAAACUAGGCUGCACGCGUGCUACAAUGAUAUAUAUAACAAGUUGUUAAAAAUGUACUUAUAAAUAAGUGUGUACAGUUUUUCCUGUACUGAAAAGUAUAGGUAAUCUUUAUCAGUAUAUAUCGUAAUUGGGAUAGAUUAUUGCAAUUAUUAAUCUUGAACGAGGAAUGCCUAGUAAGCAUGAUUCAUUAGAUUGUGCUGACUACGUCCCUGCCCUUUGUACACACCGCCCGUCGCUCCUACCGAUUGAAAGAUAUGAUAAAUUGUUUGGAUAUGAAUUAAAAUAAUGAAAUUUUAUAUUUCUGAUUUUUUCUAGAAGAACUGUAAAUCCUAUCUUUUAAAGGAAGGAGAAGUCGUAACAAGGUUUCCGUAGGUGAACCUGCGGAAG
rnacentral:rRNA from 1 species